UGUAUAUCAGGAUUGAACCAGGGACCUUUAGAUCUUCAGUCUAGCACUCUCCCAACUGAACUAUUUCAGC
rnacentral:tRNA from 1 species